rnacentral:RNase_P_RNA from 20 species
CGAAGCAGAACAGAUGACCGCUCUCCGUUCGCGGAGGGAGGAAAGUCCGGGCUCCACAGGGCAUGGUGCUGGAUAACGUCCAGCGGGGGCGACCCCAGGGAUAGUGCCACAGAGAGAAGUCCGCCUGCCGGAGCGUUAGCGAAGGCGGGUAAGGGUGAAAGGGUGAGGUAAGAGCUCACCGGGUCCGGCGGUGACGUCGGAUGCCAGGUAAACCCCACCAGGAGCAAGGCCGAAUAGGGAAGCGUUAAGGACGGCCCGUCCGAGCUUCCGGGUUGGCUGCUUGAGGCCGUCGGUAACGGCGGUCCCAGAGGAAUGGUCAUCGCCCGCCAAGGGGUAACCCGCGGCGGGAACAGAACCCGGCUUAUGGGCUGCUUCGGCCA